rnacentral:tRNA from 1 species
AGCUAUUAAUUUCAAUUGAAUUUUUUAAUAUGUUUAAAUAAAUUUUUAGUUA